GGUAGCUCUACCCGAUGGCACAUUUUGGAGUACUCCACAUAUUUCUGGGGAAAUUAAGAAGUUUAUGUGUCCUUUGCCUGAAGCCAGAGUGGGAGAAGGUCUCUCUGCAGUUGUGUCUUCUGUGAGUGAUGCUUUGGGCCUGAAUCCAUAGUGCUUGCCUGCUUCUCUCUGCAUCCCACAUGCUCUCCUCCUCAGAUGCUGCAGUGACCUUGGCAACUCUAGGAAAUGAGGACCUAAUAUAACAUGUGCUACGUAUUUCCCUCCAAAAUAGGCCAUAAUGGACUGAAGCCGAAGUUUUAAGAAAGUGUCAUAUAAUUGAUAUUGUGAAAGACAUCUUGC